GGAGCCAUGCACAGUACAAUGCCCGCAGGGAGAAAGGGGACCGAAAGGUGAUCCGGGAGCCACUGGGCGUCAAGGAUUGCAGGGAACUCCAGGAGAGCCAGGUCGGAGUGGGUCCCCCGGCCCUCAAGGUCCCGUUGGGCCCCGUGGACCACCGGGUGAGGGGACAGCAACAAGAGCAGAGAAAGGAGACACUGGUGAGCCGGGGGCAGACGGGCUCCCAGGAACACCGGGACGUCCCGGAAAUCCUGGCACGGCAGGCACACUGGGGGCUAAAGGAGAUAAAGGAGAA